UGGGGAAUAUUGCGCAAUGGGGGCAACCCUGACGCAGCAACGCCGCGUGAAGGAAGAAGGUUUUCGGAUUGUAAACUUCAGCAAGCAGGGAAGAAAGAAAUGACGGUACCUGAACAAAAGCCACGGCUAACUACGUGCCAGCAGCCGCGGUAAUACGUAGGUGGCAAGCGUUGUCCGGAUUUACUGGGUGUAAAGGGCGCGUAGGCGGGCAUGUAAGUCAGACGUGAAAUACCGGGGCUCAACCCCGGGGCUGCGUUUGAAACUGCAAGUCUUGAGUGCCGGAGAGGAAAGCGGAAUUCCUAGUGUAGCGGUGAAAUGCGUAGAUAUUAGGAGGAACACCAGUGGCGAAGGCGGCUUUCUGGACGGUAACUGACGCUGAGGCGCGAAAGCGUGGGGAGCAAACAGGAUUAGAUACC
rnacentral:rRNA from 1 species